GUAAUGCAUGUAAUGCCAUAUGCUGUAGUUACAGCAUCUACCAGGAUGGGGCUAACUGUUCAGUGCUAACCAGCUAAACCUGAACUUCUUUGGCAACACAGCAGAAGUAGAACCCAGAACCCUGUGCUCAAAGCGGUUAGCAUAAAAACUCAAAACCACAUGGAAUAUAACUUUUCUCUUGUUUAGCAGUCCUUUGUAAGAACACAGCAUUUUCUAGCAUUUUCUUUAACAAAGAUUCACAUUCAUUUGGCUUGUUUUUAAAACUAAAAGAUGUUAAAGGCAGGUCAGACCUAAUUAAAGACUUUUAAUUAGCAAAUUAUCUUUGCAUCACUGAGUAUUUGUGACUCCUGGAUUGCUGAUGCGUGUGUGUAAAUGUAGCAGCGCUUGUGUCAUAAGUCCAGGAAUCCACCGUGCUCCCACAAUCCACUUUUAUCAUCCAGGCUAAUUUCUGCCUGUAAUCCGAUUACUGCCUGUGAGCUGCUUUAGCCCCCCCCCCCCCCCCCUCUCUCUCUACUACCCUCCCAUGUGUUUGCUUUAGUCCUCUAGUUUUGCCUCUGUGCAUUUCCAUCACAUCGAGCCCGUCCGUGGUGGUCCCUCUCUCUCUCUUGCUCUUUCAUUUUUCUGUCUGAGCCUGUGAUCAGGACUGUCUGUUCUUUUCCUCUCUUUCCUUUGUUUUCUUCUUUCCUUUUCAUUCCAACAUGUUCCAUAACCCGUUGAUUACUAACUAUCUAAACCACGUCACACAGUGUAGUCAAGGCUUUGUUGGUGAAGCUUCUGCUAAACGCUACAGCCCAGCACUCCUAAAGAAAAGAGCAAUAAGGUCAGAAUCCAUUCAUCUCGCAAUUUUAAAAACUUUUUUUGUUUUGACCCAACCUUUUUUCUUUGUUUUAAAGCUCAUCCCAUUAGUUUAAUAAAAUACUGAAUUAAUCUCUUUAUCUUCUUUAAUACUUGGCACUAUAAGCAGUUAAUAAGAUGCUAUUGAAAAACCUUUUAGAAUUUUUUUUUUUUGGAUACUGUGUUGCACUAUGGACUUCAGGACCAUGAUUGUGUGUUGUGUCAUGCACAUUUUAAGCUAAAUAAAAGGAUAGAUAUUUUGGAUGCUCUGGUCAGUAAUUGAGAUUUAAGAAUCAAUAUAUUGUGCAGAGUCCUGGCCAAUGAAAAAGACAUGCUGUAAGAGAAGGGGAGGCAUAGUCUGCUGUUAUCAUCACAGACCCAGAAUGUGUAUGUGUGGGUGUAUGUGUGUUAUCUUUUGUUGUUUCCAUUGGUUAAGCUGUUAAAAGAGAAGAAUUCGCUCUUGACAUCUUUGUGUUCAAAAUAAAUCAAAACUUCAAUCUUCCUGGUGUCCUCAGUAUAGCACAAUAUAGAACAAAUACUCGUUUUAAUCACUUACACACAUUCAACCAGUAUUUAUAAUAUUAUAAAUUAUUGAGAAUUGAAUCCACAACAAGGAUGUAUUGGCCAUUGCACUUUGCAUUAAUGUUGUAGAGCAUUAAUGUCAG
rnacentral:lncRNA from 12 species